UACGAAGGUGGCAAGCGUUGUUCGGAUUUACUGGGCGUACAGGGAGCGUAGGCGGUUCGGUAAGCCCUCUGUGAAAUCUCCAGGCUUAACCUGGAACAGUCGGAGGGGACUGCCGGGCUAGAGGACGGGAGAGGAGCGCGGAAUUCCCGGUGUAGCGGUGAAAUGCGUAGAGAUCGGGAGGAAGGCCGGUGGCGAAGGCGGCGCUCUGGAACGUUUCUGACGCUGAGGCUCGAAAGCGUGGGGAGCGAACAGG
rnacentral:rRNA from 1 species